ACUGCCUGCCCAGUGACAACCGUUAAACGGCCGCGGUAUCCUGACCGUGCAAAGGUAGCAUAAUCACUUGUUCUCUAAAUAAGGACUUGUAUGAAUGGCCACACGAGGGUUUUACUGUCUCUUACUUCCAAUCAGUGAAAUUGACCUUCCCGUGAAGAGGCGGGAAUAUAUUAAUAAGACGAGAAGACCCUAUGGAGCUUUAACUACUUAGCCCAAAGAGACAAAAUUUAUUUCUAAGGAAACAACAACACUCUUUAUGGACUAACAGCUUUGGUUGGGGUGACCUCGGAGAAUAAAAAAUCCUCCGAGCGAUUCUAAAGACUAGACUCACAAGUCAAAUCACAUAAUCGCUUAUUGAUCCAAAAAAAUUGAUCAACGGAACAAGUUACCCUAGGGAUAACAGCGCAAUCCUAUUCAAGAGUCCAUAUCGACAAUAGGGUUUACGACCUCGAUGUUGGAUCAGGACAUCCUGAUGGUGCAACCGCUAUCAAAGGUU
rnacentral:rRNA from 1 species